GGAGGGAGAGAGACGAACAGCGACCACCUGAACAACAGUGUCCUGGACGGUUGCGAUGGGCAGUGCUUGAUCUAACCUGCGCAUGAAGGUAAACAUCCAGAAAGCGUCUUGAUGGGAGGCACCUGGCAGCCCUCCCUCUCUCCUCCUCUUCAUCUCCUCUUCCUCCUCCUGCAGCUUCUUCUCUUGGCAAGGAUGACUCAUCAGGCACAACAUCAACAGGAGGAUCUCUCUUGUCUGAACGACUACUUGGGAAAUGUCAGCUGUGUGUGGAACUGUUUAAACAAAUCAGAGAAAGUCAAAGAUCAAUGCAUCCUCUGGGCCAAAACGACCAAACGAGGCAAAGAAAGUGUUUCAUGUGAAUUGAUGUCUCUGGGUCAAGAUCAUUGCUACAAAGGCUGCCAUCUUCAGUUUAACA